GAUGAACGCUAGCUACAGGCUUAACACAUGCAAGUCGAGGGGCAGCAUGAACAAAGCUUGCUUUGUUUGAUGGCGACCGGCGCACGGGUGCGUAACACGUAUCCAAUCUGCCCGCGGCUCGGGGAUAGCCCAUCGAAAGAUGGAUUAAUACCCGAUGGCGUGGUUUCUCCGCAUGGAGUUUCCACUAAAGGUUUUCCGGCCGCGGAUGAGGAUGCGUAUGAUUAGGUAGUAGGCGGGGUAACGGCCCACCUAGCCUUCGAUCAUUAGGGGUUCUGAGAGGAAGGUCCCCCACACUGGAACUGAGACACGGUCCAGACUCCUACGGGAGGCAGCAGUGAGGAAUAUUGGUCAAUGGGCGAGAGCCUGAACCAGCCAAGUAGCGUGAAGGAAGACUGCCCUCUGGGUUGUAAACUGCUUUUAGUUGGGAAUAAAAAGAGGGACGUGUCCCUAAUUGUAUGUACCAUCAGAAAAAGGACCGGCUAAUUCCGUGCCAGCAGCCGCCGUAAGAC
rnacentral:rRNA from 1 species